AAGAUAUGGUGGAUAUGAUCAAUGGAAAAAUAAUUGCUCGUGGAAGCUACAAUAUUGGAUUGCUCUUUUUUUAAUUUAAUUUUCAGAUUUUCUUAUUAAAAAUUAAACAAAUGCAUAGCCUUUAUAAAUUGGGUUGGCCCAAACCAUAUAAAACCUGAAAUAAAAAUAAACAUAAAAAUUGACCUGGCCUAACCCAAUUGAAUUUAUUACAUAUAUCUGAAAUAUAGGGUUUCCUAAACCAUCUAUCUGUUUCCCUCCCUUUUUAUCUGCUCUUUGAUGUCACCGCUGACUAUCUUCAGAGUCCAGUUCAUCCUUCUUCGGCUCUGGGUGAUUAACACCAUGUCCUGAUAGCUGCAUCAGUGUAUCCUCAUCAACUUCCAGAGGUGCAGAUGGGAUGAAGAUAAUGAGAUGUUUGGACCCACUAGUAUUUGGAGAGUAACUAUUGUCCAAGUUAUGCAGUAUCAUGUCGUAUAGCCCUUUUUGUUUUACAGAGAUUGCCUUAUGUAAGCUGCUGUAGACUAGGCUAAGUGAUUUAAUACCAACACUAUUUUUGUGGCCUUGCAUGGCUUGUAAAUAUCCUUAUGUUUAUGUUAAUCCGUAACCUAAUCAGCCGUGCAGCUCUUCUGUGGUGACAAUCUUAAGUAUGGUAUUUUUGUUUCAUCACUAUUAAUGAUCCUCUUGCCAGCUGUUUGAAUCUGUUUGAAAUAUUUGAAUAUGAAUUCACCUACCUCAAAUGCAUAAUUAGCAAAGUAGACAGAUAAUUUGCUCCCUUCCCUCAAUAUGUGCUGGUACUGGACUGUUGUGAGCUGUAAUAACCUCCAUGUUUGUAUCACUUUAUAUUCUAUGCUCCAUGGACAAUGCCAUUAAUCGUUUAAAA